rnacentral:rRNA from 1 species
GUGCCAGCAGCCGCGGUAAUACAGAGGGUGCAAGCGUUAAUCGGAAUUACUGGGCGUAAAGGGCGCGUAGGUGGAGAAGUGAGUCAGAUGUGAAAGUCCUGGGCUUAACCUAGGGAUUGCAUCUGAUACUGCUUUUCUGGAGUGAAGUAGAGGGUGGCGGAAUUUCCGGUGUAGCGGUGAAAUGCGUAGAUAUCGGAAAGAACACCAGUGGCGAAGGCGGCCACCUGGACUUUAACUGACACUGAGGCGCGAAAGCGUGGGGAGCGAACAGGAUUAGAUACCCUGGUAGUCC